AACGUCAGACAGCUGAGUAGUGAUUUGAUCUCUGUCCCUUGUAACGUCAGACAGCUGAGUAGUGAUUUGAUCUCUGUCCCUUGUAACGUCAGACAGCUGAGUAGUGAUUUGAUCUCUGUCCCUUGUAACGUCAGGCAGCUGAGUAGUAAUUGUACUGUUGGGCUCAGAAAUUUGCCUUGCGAGUUCUUGAACGUGAGACAGUGCGAUCUCAACAGCGUGAAGCCGCAGCCUGAAUGAUUCCAAUCUAUUAUUGCUUCCAAAAGGUAAGAUGUUUAAUGAGUCCUGUGACAUUUUUUUAAAGGUUUAAAGCACGGUGUCACAGGUUAAAUACGUAUUAGCUUUGUCUAAAACAACUAGCUGUUUCUGAAAAUGCUCCAAUGUUAACUGUUAAAGGAGCUCCCCUAUUUAAGGACUCGGUUUAGCAGAGAACGUGACGUCGCCCGCGGCGUCAUAAUGGUCCUUUGAGAAGAUCAAAGAGCGCUGUGGAUGGAGGAGGAGCCAAGAUGGCGACCUGUGUGGACGCUUCUCUGGCCCUGGUGAGAACUGUGGUCUUCACCAAACCUGCACACAGCAGCUGCUCAGCCGAGCCGCUGCCUUCACUCACGCACGGAGGGUAUCCACGCGCCUUCAAGUCAACAUGAUGCCUUCCGUGGCUCGUUACAAACCAUCUGAGAUAUAUUAAGUAGUAAGUGUAUUUAAUAUCAUACUAGGCAGAUUUACCGCACUGCCAUUUACUACACAUUUACCCGUGUUUAGCUAUUGUCAGUACAUCUCGCUCGUUGUAAACUUUCUUUAAGUACGUGUAACAUUCACAAUGAUAUUGUUGAUGGUAACGUGUAUGAUUCCAGCCUACCUGAUAGGCACUUUUGACUUUUUGUAGUUCAGUUCACUGAUUGACUACCCUGCAGUGCUGUUUUCCUGUAUUCCUGUUUCGUCCACUUUAAUAAAGUGUCCUGUGUUACAGUAA